GACGAACGCUGGCGGCGUGCUUAACACAUGCAAGUCGAGCGGUACGGCCCUUUCGGGGGUACACGAGCGGCGAACGGGUGAGUAACACGUGGGUGACCUGCCCUUAGCUCUGGGAUAAGCCUGGGAAACUGGGUCUAAUACCGGAUAUGACUCCAUGACGCAUGUUGUGGGGUGGAAAGCCUUGUGCGGCUAGGGAUGGGCCCGCGGCCUAUCAGCUUGUUGGUGGGGUGAUGGCCUACCAAGGCGACGACGGGUAGCCGGCCUGAGAGGGCGACCGGCCACACUGGGACUGAGACACGGCCCAGACUCCUACGGGAGGCAGCAGUGGGGAAUCUUGCGCAAUGGGCGAAAGCCUGACGCAGCGACGCCGCGGUGGGGAUGACGGCCU
rnacentral:rRNA from 1 species